CCGAGGAGCCUGAUGGUCUCUCUUUGUCCACCCCCUCAGAUUGCCACUUGGGAGAGUCACCGGUGGACAAGGCAAACGGAAAAGAAGGCGCUCAGCAGCUCGACGAUGCCUUUCUAGAGGACCCAGAGCCCCUGGACAGCGUUGCAUCAAGCAGCGAAGAUGAACCGGGCCCACCAUGUUUUUGCUCAACACCAAUACAAAUUGUUGAAGAGGGCUCCGAGGAUGAUGGGUUUGAGGAAUUUAGGAGGAGGCUUGGCAUAGAACUAUCCGAGCCAGUGCCACGUCGUGAGCGUAAAAAAGUUAUGCGGACUAUUGUACGCGUUGCUGUUUAUGCUGUUCUUAAACACUGCCUUAGGGAAAAGCUUUUUGAAGAUUGUGAGGGCUGUGCUAUAGAUGCGCCAGCCCAACGACACCAUGACUGUGUGACUUGGACUUCAGUGGAUAUAAACUGCAAGCUCCGGGCCCUGUGUGCUGAGCUGUGUUUGGAAAGCUUAUUAAACACUGUUAUUGCCAUAGGUUAUGCUAUGCAAUGUCUGUACCUAACCCAAGAACAUUUAGCACAAGGGGUGACUUUGAUAAAUGCUGUGCAAUUCAGUGAAGACCCUGAACGUGUUUUAAAGAAAAUGACCAAGCCGGAAGAUGCCUGCUUACAACGUUAUAUUGAUCGUCUAGUUCGCACAAAAAGUUACAGAACCCUGCUUAAGAAAAAGACUAUUUGUAAGAAAUCUAAAAGGCUUAAGUUAGAGAAUGGUGAGGAGGCAAACAUGCGAUAUAAAACUUGGUAGCUGUAAAUUUAAAAAAAAAGGGGGUUGUGAUUAUUGUGUUUUGUUAGAAGGCCUUUUGCCCUUAAGUUUUAAUGAAGCAUCUUGGUUUGUUUUGAAGGAGUUGUAUGUCUUUUUAAAAUAAAAUAGUUUGUGAGAAUUA